UACGGAGGGUGCGAGCGUUGUCCGGAUUCACUGGGUUUAAAGGGUGCGUAGGUGGGUUUGUAAGUCAGUGGUGAAAUCUCCAGGCUUAACCUGGAAACUGCCAUUGAUACUAUAGAUCUUGAAUUUUCUGGAGGUAAGCGGAAUAUGUCAUGUAGCGGUGAAAUGCUUAGAUAUGACAUAGAACACCAAUUGCGAAGGCAGCUUGCUACAGGGAUAUUGACACUGAGGCACGAAAGCGUGGGGAUCAAACAGG
rnacentral:rRNA from 1 species